rnacentral:rRNA from 1 species
UGAAUACGAGACGCUAAGGCGUUGAAGUAGUGUAUGUCAUACUUCCAAGAAAAGCUUGCACUGUCAUAGAUAAAAAACGCCUGUACCAUAACCGACACAGGUGGGUAGGUAGAGUAUACUAAGGGGCGCGAGAUAACUCUCUCUAAGGAACUCGGCAAAAUAACUCCGUAACUUCGGGAGAAGGAGUGCCUUAUUUAUAAGGCUGCAAUAACAAGAUCCAAGCAACUGUUUAUCAAAAACACAGGUCUCCGCUAAGUCGUAAGACGAUGUAUGGGGGCUGACGCCUGCCCAGUGCCAGAAGGUUAAAGAAGUUGGUUAGCAAUAGCGAAGCUGAUAACUGAAGCCCUGGUGAACGGCGGCCGUAACAAUAACGGUCCUAAGGUAGCGAAAUUCCUUGUCGGGUAAGUUCCGACCCGCACGAAAGGCGUAAUGAUUUGGAUACUGUCUCGGAGAGGGGCUCGGUGAAAUAGACUUGUCUGUGAAGAUGCGGACUACCUGCACCAGGACAGAAAGACCCUAUGAAGCUUUACUGUAACUUGAAAUUGAAAUUGGACUUUAUUCGCGCAGUAUAGGUGGGAGGCGUUGAUUGUAAUCUUGCGGGAUUAUUGGAGCCAUCAGUGAGAUACCACCCUUGUAAUGUUAGAUUUCUAACUUUGAAUCAUUAUCUGGUCAAAGAACAGUUUCAGGCGGGCAGUUUGACUGGGGCGGUCGCCUCCUAAACGGUAACGGAGGCGUACAAAGGUUUCCUCUGAACGGUUAGAAAUCGUAUCUAGAGUGUAAAGGCAUAAGGAAGCUUGACUGUGAGACCUACAAGUCGAGCAGGGACGAAAGUCGGUCUUAGUGAUCUGACGGUACUGAGUGGAAAGGCCGUCACUCAACGGAUAAAAGUUACUCUAAGGAUAACAGGCUGAUCUCCCCCAAGAGUUCACAUCGACGGGGAGGUUUGGCACCUCGAUGUCGGCUCAUCGCAUCCUGGGGCGGUAGUACGUCCCAAGGGUUGGGCUGUUCGCCCAUGAAAGCGGUACGCGAGCUGGGUUCAGAACGUCGUGAGACAGUUCGGUCCAUAUCCGGUGUAGGCGUUAGAAUAUUGAGAGGAGCCUUCUUUAGUACGAGAGGACCGAGAAGGACAUACCUCUGGUGUACCAGUUAUCGUGCCAACGGUAAACGCUGGGUAGCUAUGUAUGGAGUGGAUAACCGCUGAAAGCAUCUAAGUGGGAAGCCCACCUCAAGAUAAG